GGGGGCGUACCGGUUUCGACGGGGGUUCUGCACCAUGAUAAGCGAGCAGAGUUCUGCCGUAACUCUUUAAUCAAUGGCACGUUUUUUUAAAUAUAAACGCUAAAAGAAACAUUUCUGUAAGCUUCAACAGAAGUUUACAGGUUGCUGCCUAAGUCAGCAUCUGUCCUGUAACUGAGUACCACGGCUUUUACAGGGCAUCGAUGAGUGGUGAACGUUCUGGUAGUGCGUCCGGACUACAAGAAUGUAUGCGGACUACUUUCAUGCACAGCCUGUUUACCGGCGGUGUGUGCGGGGAAUUUCAGUAGAUAAACUACGCUCGUAGAAAUUUGUGGGAAUUAGCUUUCGGACAGGGGUUCAAUUCCCCUCGCCUCCACUA
rnacentral:sRNA from 1 species